rnacentral:tRNA from 1 species
GCCCCAAUAGCUCAGUUGGCAGAGUACCGCUUUCGUAGACAAAAAGCAGAAGCUUUUAGCUAUCCUGCAAAAGCCGAAUAAAGCGGGGGUCGGGAGUUCAAUCCUCUCUUGGGGCU